rnacentral:rRNA from 1 species
UGGGGAAUAUUGGGCAAUGGGCGAAAGCCUGACCCAGCAACGCCGCGUGAAGUAUGAAGGCCUUCGGGUUGUAAACCGCUUUUGAUUGGGAGCAAGCCUUUUGGGUGAGUGUACCUUUCGAAUAAGCGCCGGCUAACUACGUGCCAGCAGCCGCGGUAAUACGUAGGGCGCAAGCGUUAUCCGGAAUUAUUGGGCGUAAAGAGCUUGUAGGCGGUUCGUCGCGUCUGGUGUGAAAGCCCAUCGCUUAACGGUGGGUUUGCGCCGGGUACGGGCGGGCUAGAGUGCAGUAGGGGAGACUGGAAUUCCCGGUGUAACGGUGGAAUGUGUAGAUAUCGGGAAGAACACCAAUGGCGAAGGCAGGUCUCUGGGCUGUUACUGACGCUGAGAAGCGAAAGCGUGGGGAGCGAACAGG